CAGUAUGCAGCAGCAUAAUGAAGAGCAUUAGCAUCAUCCAGUGUUACAUCGGAUUCUGUCAGGAGAAGUUUUACAAGCUCAACAUCAUCCGAGUCUAAUGCCUUGUGUAUUCUCCUAAUUCUCUUUUCAUGCAAGGGGUCCACAGCCUCAGCAUUCUCUUCAUCAUCAGACACUGGCCUUUUGCGAAACAAUUUAAUGUUCUCUGAAACUUCAUAGGGAAGCUCCUUC
rnacentral:misc_RNA from 1 species